rnacentral:rRNA from 1 species
UACGGAGGGAGCGAGCGUUGUCCGAAGUUACUGGGCGUAAAGCGCGCGUAGGCGGGGGAUUAAGUGAGAAGUGAAAGGCUGAGGCUCAACCUCAUGCAGUGCUUCUCAUACUGGUCCUCUUGAGGGUGGUAGAGAGAAGUGGAAUGGCUGGUGUAGCGGUGAAAUGCGUAGAUAUCUGGAGGAACACCGGUGGCGAAGGCGGCAUCCUGGACCGACACUGACGCUGAGGAGCGAAAGCCAGGGGAGCAAACGGG